rnacentral:lncRNA from 10 species
UGUUUUUUGAGAUUACCUCAUGGGGAAGGCGUAACUGCCUAAUCAUAAUAAAAGUCUUCCUUCCUAUGUUUAUAAAACUGACAGAUGUGGUUUCCAGAAAGUCAGAUAAUUUAGAAGUCGAGAAAAAGACAAAACUAAAUGAUUGUUUUGGGAGAUCUUGAAGAAUUUGAAAAUAUGGUUUCCCGUGUUUUGCUGAUAGGAAAACAAAGUCCCUGGCACCAGUCUAGGAUUACAAAUCUCAGAGACUACAGCCGAAAACACAGAACUCGCGUUUUGGAAAUUUGGACUCGGUUCAUUAGAGCAGGAUAAUAAAAACAUGACCAGGAUCCCCAUCCUCUAUUUGGAGGAGGUGGAUUUGCUGAUUCUGCUAAAGAAAUACUUGGUAAAGAAUUUGUUUUCUGUUUUGGGACUCCAAAAUCAUUUACAAAAUGCAGAAUGUGAAUCCUAAAAAAUAAUAGCAGAGGGUCAUAUGCUAACUGCCAUCUCCAAGGAAAAUCUGAAAACAAAUUUGCCACUUUGAAUAAGCACUUUUAUUUAUGCAGUACAAUCUAUCUGUCAAAACAGCAUGAGGCUCUGCUCAGUUAAAUAUUCUAAUACAAUUAGCAAAGUAAUGUAAUUGGCUGGCCUUAAUAGACAUCAGCUCUACGGGCAGCAUCACUAAAGUUAACAGUCAUGCUGGAGAUGGGACCGAGAAGCUGCAAAUGAAGCCAGAUGUACACACAGAGGGGCUAUAGACCCAUCAGGAUUUCCUGGGGGGAAAUAUUCAUUAAACUGUGCAUCUGGUAGAGUGCUUCAAAAAUCUGCCCCUCCUUAAUGAUCCUUUGGCAGAUUUGUUUUUAAAAAUACCUCACCCCCAUUUGAAAGGUAAAUCUAUAUAUGACAGUCUUUAGUAAAUUAAUAUAUUAUUACCAAAAGUAUUGUUAAGUCAAAAUGAUAGUUUCUUAUAAUGGUGGUGAUGCAGUGUGACGGAAUCCUCCAUAUCUCGUAUUGUUGAAGAAAUUUGAAAAAAAAAAAAAAAAGAUUAAUGUUCAGAUUUACUUAUUUUUUGACACUCUUCUCAUCAAGAGACCAUGGUCUAUAUCCCUUGUUCCUUCCCCUUAAAUCUGGGAAGGCUCUGUGACUGCAGUGACUAAUAGAAUAUUACUGAGUGGUAUGUCAGUUUCGGUACUCAGGCCACAGAGACAUACAGUUUCCAUUUUCUAUCUCAGAACACUCACUUUUGGAAUUCAGAUGUGAGAAAACCCAAGUCCUCUCAGAGAGGAUCAUGUGCAGAGAAACUGAGGCUCCAGGUGACAGUCCCAGAUGAGCUUCCAGCACACAGCCAACACCAAAUUGCCAUCUUUUAAGUUGUCCACCUACAUUGGUCCAGCUGCCUCAGCUGUUUCUGCAUAGAGAAGAGCUGAACUACCUCCCCAGAUCCCUGCUCACAUUACAGAUUUUUCACCCAAAUUAUUGAGUGCUGUCAUUUGAAGCCACAAAGUUUUGGGGUAAUUUGUUAUGGCCAUGAUAGAUAAUGGAAAUGCUCAUCAACAGGUAGCCAAACACAUUGAAAAACACAUACAUUCUUUCCACAAUUUCUUUUCUGUCUGGAUUUGAAAACAAAUUUCCCUCAAUAAAAUAACUCAGUGGCAAUUUUCUCCAGGUCAGUGUUUUUAAUUUGUAGCCUGAAAUCUGUAUGUUUAACCUGAUACCAAACUUGUUUGUUCUCUAAUCCAGUUGUUGCUGUUCAUUUACACUCUAUAG